GGGAGGAUGGCUCAGUUGGGAAGAUCUGAGUUUUGGUUCCCCUUUCGUUUAUUCGAAAGGUCGUGGGUUCGAUUCCCGCUCCUCCCC